UCUGGCGACCGGCGCACGGGUGAGUAACACGUAUCCAACCUGCCGAUAACUCGGGGAUAGCCUUUCGAAAGAAAGAUUAAUACCCGAUGGCAUAAUUAGACCGCAUGGUUUGAUUAUUAAAGAAUUUCGGUUAUCGAUGGGGAUGCGUUCCAUUAGGCAGUUGGUGAGGUAACGGCUCACCAAACCUUCGAUGGAUAGGGGUUCUGAGAGGAAGGUCCCCCACAUUGGAACUGAGACACGGUCCAA
rnacentral:rRNA from 1 species